AAGCUUCCUGCAACCUGCAGUUAAAGGUCAACAACUGAUACUUUGAGUAGAGUUCCUGUUAGUGUGACUCAAUAAAUCCUACUUUGUUGGGCUGCAUACUGGCUGGAGGAAGUGACUUGGCAGAGAGAAGGAGCCCUGGGUCCGGUAUGGGAGACUGACGAGCACGGUUCUCUCACGCACUGAGUGACCGAAUGUGUGAGCGGUCACUGCUCCAGACUCCAUUGCUUCAUCUAGGGAAAAAGGAAAGAGAUGACUGGAACAGACAAUCACCAGCUUAAAAAAAUACCAAUUUGUGCGGACAGGAAGAAACUGAAUGAAUGUGCGUUGUAGACACGAGUGCAGUUACGGCAAGGACCCCGCUUUCUCAGACCCAUGAGGAUAGCAAGGCCUUCCCUGGUCCGAGUUUGGAUGUUGACAGAUCCUGCAAGUAUGUCAAUCACUGGUUCGUCCUCCAGCAUGACUGCGCCUGAGACUGGUUCCCUGCUACCCAGAGUUGUCAUCCAGCCUCACCCAGCUGUGUUUAAUAGAAGAACCGAAUGUCUGGGCUGCUGGUACAUCUCCACCAGAGAACACCGCACCCUCCAUCCCAGCUCUUCUGCUGGUGGUCCUUUAUAACCGUUAAGGCGAUCCCCAAACAAUGCAGGGACAUUAUCUGCAAAAGUCAGCCUGACAGUGAUACCUUCCUAUGAGAAGAAAGACAACACCCAAAGGAGCUGCAACAGGAGCCCCAAGGAGUCAGACGUUAUCAGGUAGCAGGCAGACUUUGCUGCCAUUUACAAAAUCCUCCAAAUGUGUCAGGCUAGGGGUCAGAGGUCACAGCUGAGCCAGAACUGUACUAAGCUGUUUUAGAGUCGGCGUGAAAGGCAGAAGGUGUGCUGUGUGUUGUCUAACGCAUCGAAUGGCUGUGUGUACUUAAGAAUGGCUUUUGGUUUUAAUAUCGUUGAGUUUGAUUCCAUUAAAGCCAUGAAGGCAGAUUCUUAA
rnacentral:lncRNA from 1 species